rnacentral:lncRNA from 1 species
CAAAGUUAGCAGUAUAAACAUUGAAGCAGAAUGUUUGUUGAAAACCUAGCUGUUGUAAGUUGGGUGGGGUGAGAAGGUACAUAAGGAAAGCCCUCAGAAGCUAACCCUGGACGUAUCUCCUUUUAUUUUUAUUUAUUUUUUAUUUCCAAAACCGAAAAAAGAAAAAUUACAAACAUCAAAUUCAACAUCCAUAUUCAUUUUCUAACUUAAACCUAUUACAUAAUUAACUAAAUUAAAAUAUACCUAAUCACUCUAAACUUGUCUUUGCUGUAUACAAAUACAACAGUUAGAAAUUUUAUAUUAAAGCUUUUAUAUUAUAAAUAAUAUUUCAAAUUCCCCUAAUCCCCCGUUCCCAUUCACAAAAGCACAAAGAUUCACAAAAUGUUUAGGGUACAUGUACCCCUGCAUAUCACCAGAAAAACGCACUGCUCAGAAGCAAGCCUCAUUGAGUUAAAUUGAACUUUAUUGCAACUUAUUCAAAGGGAACAUUAGCAAAGAAAUAGUCCCACCCAUUUACCUGGGAGUAAACCCUGUGGGAAAUUGUGGGAUUUAACUUCUGAGCCAAGGGUGCUUGGAUACCAGACUGCAAGACUGUAAUCUGACAGGCUAACAAUUCCGGUUGCACCUCUGAAAUCAGUAUGUCUUUCUGUUGAGUAACCACCAGGCGUCCUCCCUUAGAAGAAAGACUUUAAAAAACCCAUGAUUCAAGCCUAAACUCCACAACCAGAUUUUGCUUCCCUUAGGAGAACUUGCUUGUUUUAUUCUGCAUGGAUUGCGGAAAUGCUGGUGCUUUGUACACGACAGUGGGUCUUUUGGACGGGAACGCAAUUCCUGUGCACCUUUUACUCAGAAGCAAGCCCAUCAGCGCUCCUUGCCUCCCUCGUCAUCCGACAGGAGGGUCUUACUCGAGAGUAAGUCCCGUUGGUGUCAUUGGAGGCUGAUGCAGAAAUCAUAGACAGAGCCAUUCCACUAAAUCAUUUCCAGCUGCCGACACAGCAGAGCAAAGCGGUUCUCCCUUUCCUGCCUGAUUUUGCCCCCUUCUUCAUUCGCUACACCUGUGCAGGUGUGAUAGGAGGAACGCGAUUGGAGGAGAGGUGAGGGCGGGGUCGGAGUCCUCUGACGUCUCAAGGCUCCGUGUUUGCUAUAAAAGGCUGUGCAGGGAGCAGAGUUCUCCAUUUGCUUUGCGCGGGGGAGACUAGAGGGAGG